rnacentral:rRNA from 1 species
UACGGGGGGGGCAAGCGUUGUUCGGAAUUACUGGGCGUAAAGGGCUCGUAGGUGGCCAACUAAGUCAGACGUGAAAUCCCUCGGCUUAACCGGGGAACUGCGUCUGAUACUGGAUGGCUUGAGUUCGGGAGAGGGAUGCGGAAUUCCAGGUGUAGCGGUGAAAUGCGUAGAUAUCUGGAGGAACACCGGUGGCGAAGGCGGCAUCCUGGACCGACACUGACACUGAAGCACGAAAGCGUGGGGAGCAAACAGG